AUUGAACGCUGGCGGCAGGCCUAACACAUGCAAGUCGAGCGGGUGAAGGGAGCUUGCUCCUGGAUUCAGCGGCGGACGGGUGAGUAAUGCCUAGGAAUCUGCCUGGGAGUGGGGGAUAACGUCCGGAAACGGGCGCUAAUACCGCAUACGUCCUGAGGGAGAAAGUGGGGGAUCUUCGGACCUCUCGCUAUCAGAUGAGCCUAGGUCGGAUUAGCUAGAUGGUGGGGUAUAGGCCUACCAAGGCGACGAUCCAUAACUGGUCUGAGAGGAUGAUCAGUCACACUGGAACGAGGAUGAGGGGCCAAAUCGUAAGGGAGGCACCGUUGAGGAAUAUUGGACAAGGGGCGGAAGCCUGUACCAGCCAUGGCGCGUGUGUGAAGAGGAUCUUCGGAGUGUAAAGGACGUUAAGUUGGGAGUAAGGGCAUUAAGUUAUAAGCUUGCUGUUUUGACGGUACCAACAGAAUAAGCACCGGCUAACUUCGUG
rnacentral:rRNA from 1 species